UACGUAGGGUGCAAGCGUUGUCCGGAAUUAUUGGGCGUAAAGAGCUCGUAGGCGGUUUGUCGCGUCUGCUGUGAAAAUCCAAGGCUCAACCUUGGACCUGCAGUGGGUACGGGCAGACUAGAGUGCGGUAGGGGAGAUGGGAAUUCCUGGUGUAGCGGUGGAGUGCGCAGAUAUCAGGAGGAACACCAAUGGCGAAGGCACAUCUCUGGGCCGUAACUGACGCUGAGGAGCGAAAGCGUGGGGAGCGAACAGG
rnacentral:rRNA from 1 species